rnacentral:rRNA from 1 species
GUCCACCCGUAACGUUGGGAACUAGUUGUGGGUCCAUUCCACGGAUUCCGUGACGCAGCUAACGCAUUAAGUUCCCGCCUGGGAGUACGGCCGCAAGGCUAAACUCAAAGGAAUUGACGGGACCCGCACAAGCGGCGGAGCAUGCGGAUUAAUUCGAUGCAACGCGAAGAACCUUACCAAGGCUUGACAUAUACGAGAACGGGCUAGAAUAGUCAACUCUUUGGACACUCGUAAACAGGUGGUGCAUGGUUGUCGU